AUGGCUGUUCAAGUGACCCAGAUGAGCAAAGAGUAUGACAAAAAGAUUUCCUUUCAUCUGUAUAAAUACUUCAGGAUUGCUUUGCGUAGAAGGAAGACAACAGUUGCAGGUGGAAAGCUUAGUGCUGUCAUUAUCACCACAAGGGAUGGGAGUCAUGAGCUGAAAUGCAUGUGGCUGCAGUCAUCUCAGAUAUUCACCAGUAUCCUGCCCAAGUCUGGAAGGCCAUUUGUGCUACCUGGCAGAAUUGAAGAUGAUGGAAAAUGA
rnacentral:lncRNA from 1 species